GCCCUCGUCGUUCAGUGGAUAGGACACAAGAUUGCGGAUCUUGAAACCAAGGUUCGAUUCCUUGCGAGGGCA
rnacentral:tRNA from 1 species